UAAAUACAUAAAACACACAAGGACGAGGUAUCUUAUGAUCAUCCCUGAACGAUCGUCUACCGAACGAUCGUUCAGGGAUAUCAUUCGUAUGUCAUUGCCGUUCUUGGCAUCCAUCAUCAUUCAGCGAUCGUUGUCUAACGAUCGUCUGUCGCCUGCUCUUGGCAUCAAUCAUCAUUCAGCGAUCGUUGUCUAACGAUCGUCUGUUGCUUUGCUACUAAAGAACGUUCGGUCAAUUUUAGUCAAAAUUGACAUAUUAAUCCUAAGAAACUAAAGAACAAGCGGUUAGAAAUAUCUUCCCAUAAUGUCACAAAUCACGGAGUCAACUGACCUAGUAUCAAGCACGACAUAACGGUUGUGUUUUCCAGAUGGACAGGUUCUCCAACCAACCGAAUUUUUAGGUACCCAGCCCAUUUUUCCCCAAAGAGUUCUACGUAGGAGGAAGGCGUGAAGAUAAUUGCACUACUAGAAGGAGCAGAGGUACAUCAACAUUGUUGCUAUGCGAUUUCCCCCAUUUGCAGUGUACAAUUCAUCCCCAAAGAAGUCAGGAUGAGCUACAUACUCUUGUCCAACUUCGUAAUGCAGAAUUUGAAGUCCUUCACCGUUCUCUGCACAAGUGUAGUGUUUUUUUUUUUCGAUUAUUCGAUAAAAAUCUAUGUAUAAGAGACAACUCGAAGAUACCCAUAUUCUAAGAAAUCUGCUUUGCAAAAGUGGUAAAGAGAGAAAGAACAUACCAACAGAAAAGUGAAAAAGAAAGAACGAUAAGAGAAACAAGAGGAGGAAAGUAAUGGAGUUGAAUGAAGCAUGUAAAACAGGAGAAUGAAUACAUGUAGGAAGCGUUGCGAGCAAUGGAAUUGAGAUGAUUAUGUUCGAAUGGAGCAAAGGAAGUGUUGGUGUUGGGCAUUCGAAGGUGGAGAGCGAGGAGAAGGAGAAUCAGGAGAAACAUGAACAUCGUGAGCACUGAUAGAAGAAACAUCCACGACCACCUCGUCAUCCAUGAUUUUUGAACCCGAGAGUGCCUCGCUUUCACCAUUUGUGUUAAUU
rnacentral:sRNA from 1 species